UACGUAGGGGGCAAGCGUUGUCCGGAAUCAUUGGGCGUAAAGAGCGUGUAGGCGGCCCGAUAGGUCCGCCGUGAAAGUCCAGGGCUCAACCCUGGAAUGCCGGUGGAAACUGUCGGGCUGGAGUCCGGAAGAGGCGAGUGGAAUUCCUGGUGUGAGCGGUGAAAUGCGCAGAUAUCAGGAGGAACACCAAUGGCGAAGGCAGCUCGCUGGGACGGUACUGACGCUGAGACGCGAAAGCGUGGGGAGCAAACAGG
rnacentral:rRNA from 1 species